rnacentral:misc_RNA from 1 species
GAUGAAGAACCGCAGCGAAAUGCGAUAAGUAAUGCGAAUUGCAGAAUUCAGUGAGUCAUCGAAUCUUUGAACGCACAUUGCGCCCUGUGGUAUUCCGCAGGGCAUGCCUGUUCGAGCGUCAUUUCAACCCUCAAGCCCCGCUUGGUGUUGGGCCCCGCCCGCCGUGGCCGGCCCUAAAGACAGUGGCGGCGCCGCCUGGCCCUCAGCGUAGUACAGCUCUCGCUCCAGGGUCCGGCGGCCGCCUGCCAGAACCCCCCCAACUCUGUGGUUGACCUCGGAUCAGGUAGGGAUACCCGCUGAACUUAAGCAUAUCAAUAAGCGGAGGA